AGGAUCUGAAGUACAAGAAGGGAUCAAGGUUGAUUGAAUCUCUCCUCCAAAAAGAGAAAAUAAUGCGCUAAACCACUUGCAUAGAAGGUACAAGUAAUGUCAUCAUAUUAACAGAGUUGUGAAAGAUCAAGAUUAGAGAAAAAUGCAAUCAGCAAGAGACAUCAAGCAAAGUUCCAAAAUCGAAUUAGGAAGGUGAUUUUGAAUACCUUGCGGGCGAGGAGGCGAUAAGCAUGUUCGAUCUCGAUGGCUGUAGCAGUGUAAGCGACGCCCAGAACGAUGUAUGGAUUGAGGCCGUCGUUGAUUGCAACAACGGAAGAGAAGGAUGAGGAGGCUGCUGUGAUGAGUGAGGGCCGCCGGCGAGGAGGGCUCGGCAGCGUGGCAAGGGAUUGGAAUCGGCGAAGAAGAAACCCUACAAAUAGAAACACUAGAAUGUGAAGAAGAGGUGGUCGGUGGUUUUACUGGCCUUCUUGAGAUCAAAUGCCGAUUCCUACAACACCAAGUACUUCUCUUGCAGAUGAAGAUCCAAUUCAGAAAGAGAGUGAAAUAUCUUCACUUGAAAAAUUAGUGGCUAAACUUUAAUUUUUAAUAAGUGAAAGGAUUUGUUUGGAACUAA